CUCCCGCGCGGACGCACCGUUGUGUAUUAAAAAAAAAAACAUCGCGACCUCCGCGUGCCCCCUCAGUGAUCAGUGACAUGGAUAUUCUCUCCCUGGACCCCACUGGACUCUACUAAACAAAAUGGCGAUCCUUGACCCGACCGGACAGUACUAGCUCGAAAAAACAUGGCAACCAAGAGCUUGGACCCCACUGGUCUGUAUUGAUUGAAUUUUAUUAAGAAAAUGGAAGUCAAAGUUCUCGAUCCCACCGGCCAGUACUAAACGUCGAAGAUGCUCGGCCUAGAUCCCACUGAAGUUUACUAACCCUCUCUUUCCUGUCUGUCGAAAAUGUGUUGCGGACGAAGACUGGUCGGUCUGACAGGCACGCGCCCCGAGGAGACCUCCUCGUGCACAAAAAGAAGAUUCGAACUUAGAACGCUGGUGUGACAGCUCAACACUUACGAUGCAUUUGUAAAUAUUCGAAUAAGGAUCCAUUCUUGCAUAAUACUGGCCGAAAAUAUGCAGAAAAAAACAGUCGAAGACCAAGGAGGCGACAGUUGCGAGGUGGAUGGAGAUCAGCUGACGCGCGGCGACCCGGAAGCGAGCUGCCUCGAGACUUGCACAAUGCUGGAUCCAUCGGGAAACGGAUAGCAACUCGGCCGCGUCACAGAACAUUCAAAUUUGGAUUUCACUGUAAUUCCAGCUGUCAAUAGAACGAGCAUCAUGGACUCCGCAUCUCUGAAUACUAAACUGAGCAAAAUGUUAUACUUCAAUGACUUAUCCCAAUACUCAAAGAUUAAGCUCUUACGCUGUAAUAUGACAGAUUAUUUUCUUGUAAAAAUAAUAUUUUUAAUUUCUGCUAUUUCAUGCAUUUCCUUUAUAUUAUUUUAUGUCUAAAACAAUAUCUUAUAUUAUUCUUGUAUAUUUGUAAUCAUUUUGUACUUAAAAGUUAAAUAAAAUAUUUAGGUACCUACGAACUGAAAAACUAACGAAAACAUAGUCGGUUUUGCAUUUUAGUGUUUAAGUUAAAAUUACAAAAUUAUGUAGAUUUAAGUGAAUUAAAGACAAGCUACAAAGAGGCAAAAAGAUAGUUAAUGGUACCCUUCUCUCCCUUUGUAUAUUCAUAAGUGGCCAUUGACUACUCUUCACAUGUAUAGAGACUUUUAGUUAUAAGUAUUUUAAUGUUUAUCACAAUUAUCUACUCAAAAGUGUCAAAAAAUAUAUUGAUUUGAGUUACCAUUUUGAUUUCUGCUUCUGUAAAUAAGGCUCUGUAACGACUUCAUAACAUUUUCCUGAAGAAAAACUUUGUCCCAAUAACAUCCUAACCAGCAAAUGAAGAUUUGCAUUUACAAUGAAAAUUUUUAAUUUAAUCAAAAAUAUUUUGACUAAUAAUUAUUGUACCUACAAUCUUUAAAAUAUAAUAAAGUAUGGAUAAUUUUAAAUUAAUUAAGACUGCGUUAAAAUAUUAAAUCCGUAACAUUUAUUCAGUGUAUAGUUAAGACUGAAUUUAUUAUUUGUUUGUAAUUAGGUCAUAUUAAAUUAUUUAAAAUUUUCAUUAGUCCUUUAAGGAUCCCUUCUAGUUUUUUAAUCAUUGGUAGCAUAUAUAUUGUUAUUAUAAGCUAAUUAGGUACCUAUAUUUAAAGGGAAAUAAAGAGGUUUUAUUACA